AGAGUUGAGUUGAGAGAUGAGUUGAGUUGAGUUGAGUCGAGUUGAGUUGUUGAGUUCAGUUAGUUUAGUUGGGCCUGAAUAAUGGAGCCAUUUUGUGUACUGGGUAUCCCACUCUUGGACAAUUUCAGCCUUAUUCUACUUACUUUCUUGAUUGGUAGCAUCUGGGUGUUUUUUUCUAGGUAUUGGAGCUGGACACAGGUGGCAGCCAAGACAGAGGCAUUCCAGUGAGUGUCCAUAUCUCCUUGUGGUUCCAUGUUCAUUCCCCCGUGAAGAGAUCAAGAAACCCACAGGUUUACAAAUGGACGACUCCAGAAUGAAAUUUGGGGAAGAACAUCUCCUUAGGCCGUCUUGUGGGCAAGCCUGUGAUUCAUUUCCUUAAUUGAUGAUUGAUGUGGGAACAUCCAGCUCACUGUGGUGAUGCCAACCCAGGCUGGUGGUCACAGGUGACAUAAGAAGGCAGAGUGAGCAAGCUAUGAAAGCUAACCAGAUUUUAGGACUUCCUAUGGGCUACACAGAGGACUAUAUAUUAUCCUCAAUAGACAAGAACCUUCGACAUCUGGAAAAUGCAAGGGCAACACUUUUGGAACCGGAUUUACCAGAAUCCCAUGGUACAUCUUCUUCCUCCAUCUCUGACACUGUGGCUCAUGAGAGUGUCCCACAUUGCCGUUACUGUAAAAAUAGAAAACGUUCUACUGACUACAGCAUGUCCUCUGAAUCCUCCAAGAACAGCUCAAUCCUGUCUUAUCUUCCAAUCUUUCCUGAAAGAACAACUUGGAAAAUCCAGGGCAAUAUUGUCCCCGAUUCCCCGGAAAAGGAAUUGCCCAAGUCCAGGAACCA
rnacentral:lncRNA from 1 species